AUUGAACGCUGGCGGCAGGCCUAACACAUGCAAGUCGAACGAGUGGCGGACGGGUGAGUAAUGUCUGGGAAACUGCCUGAUGGAGGGGGAUAACUACUGGAAACGGUAGCUAAUACCGCAUACCAUCAGAUGUGCCCAGUUGGGAUUAGCUUGUUGGUGGGGUAACGGCUCACCAAGGCGACGAUCCCUAGCUGGUCUGAGAGGAUGACCAGCCACACUGGACAUGAGGCACGUGCCAGACUCCUCCGGGAGGUAGCAGAGGGAAAUAUGGCACAAUGGGCGCAAGCCUGAUGCGGCCAUGCCGCGUGUAUGAAGAAGGCCUUCGGGUUGUAAAGGUCUUUCAGCGGGGAGGCGUUACCCGCAGAAGAAGCACCGGCUAACUCCGUGCCAGCAGCCGCGGUAAUAC
rnacentral:rRNA from 1 species